UGCUAAAAACAUAGCAUAGCAAGAGCUCUCCAAGCUAAGUAAAUAUUAAGAAUAUAAACAUAUCUGGACGUAUAUUAUCUGAGGAGAAAGAAGACAAGGAAGAACUUAAGAUUUAGCCCCUCUUAAGUAGAAAGCAGCCUACGAGGGGCUGUGAGCCAGCCUGGUGUGGUUUGACAGCUGAGUCUGGAGUCAGGCUGGAGUCUUAUUGGUGGUGACAUGUGUCAAUCUUUAGAGGACGCCCCGCCCACUGUGGCCAGACCGAGCUGAGCCAGUCUGCUGUCAGCCGCUCAUCACCCAGUCCUUUUCAUGUUUGCCUUUUUUCUGUGUUUGUGAAUGUGAAGAAAGAAAAGAGUGUAUUCCAGUGUGGUACACACACACACACACACACCAAUGAGGCUCUUUUGUGAUGUGCACAUGUGAUUUUAUUUUUAGUGUUAUGUGUGUUUGCUCUACACACACACACACACACACACACACACACACACACACACACACACACACACACACACACACACACACACACACACCAAUCCGUCCACCAACCCCUAUGUUGUCUGCCAGGAGGGCAACAUCAAAGUGUCUCUAGCUGUGGGCAUGUGGAGCCUGGAGACUAGUGAGGGCCUGUGGAGUGGAGACUGGGCCUGCAGAGGUAGCUGGAAAAUCAAGUGGCCACAGGGAGCCUGGAGAAUGAGGUGGGCUUGGAGAAUGAAGCGGGCCUGGAAAACAAGGUGGGCUAAGAGAAGAAGGUGAGCCUGGGGAGCGAGGUGUGGUAUACUGUAGGGCAGGUACGGUCCAUAAAAAGAGACUGAAGGGGGUCCUGGAGAGCGCAGUGGGCCUGAGGAGCGAGGUCAGGGUCAAUAAAAGGAAGAUGAAGGUGGUUGAGAUGGAGGUCAGUCCUGGAGAACAUGAUGCAGGUGAAAAAGAAGAAUUUAAAGGUAGAUGUGGGAAGCAAAGUGAGCUUGGAGAAGGAGGCGGCGCAGCAGCAUGAAGUCUCUCCGUGCAGGAAUGUUUAGUGAAGUUUCUCAGAGCUCUACAGAAGUGAUGCUCUUAAAUGCAGCUCUUGGUGACAACUUUAUGUAUGUUGCACUUUCUUGUCUUCCCUUGAUGCCUUAACAAUAGCCAGACAGGCAGCGAGAGCACACUGGUCCUUGUAAACAAUACAUUUCCUCCAUGAGAUGUCCACUUUUUAUUGGCUGCAGGCGUAGGAGGGAGGAGGGCCUGCAGGAGGCGGUGGUAGGCGGGCAGGAGAGCAGGAGGAGGUGGUGGGAGGUAGGCAGGAAACACAGGACUGCCGCUGUUGCCUCUGAGGCAAAGAUCGGCUUCUUGCUCUCAUCUGCCCGUCAGAGCCCUCCUCUGAGCUGCCAAUCAAAAUGAUGGACAAGUGCUAGUGGAUGGUGGAGAGAGGAUUUGAAGGGACCGGCUCGUUUGCACAGACAAACUCAUCUGUGAUUUCUCUCAGUUUGUGUCUAAAAGAGACAAUGCUCUCUGUAGGCACAACUUCUGCAAUCACAUACCCGAUCAGUGGGUCAUGAUUGCAUCAUUGAUCAUGUUUUUCCCUGUUGCUAUGUAUGUAUGUAGCACAAAGCUUGAGCUGUUCAGAGGCUUAUAAUGGAUACGUAUUUAGACGCACCGUAUUGUCCUGAUUGCCAUGGAUUGUGAAUGCAUUUGAUUUAUAAACUAUAUGUUGUGUUGCAUAUGAAUAAUGAGCUAUCACUAUUGUGAUCAACCCAAUGUACUAUUUUUUUUUUAUAUAUUUAAAAUGCUGACACGCAGUACCCUUCUAAAUGUCUUGAGUACACACUUCCAAUAUUUACUUUAAAAAUGUAUUUUCCUGAAAAUAAUUUCUAAGAAUCAGUAGAUUCAGAUUACUAGACAGAAAAGUUCAUCAUGAGUGUAACAGUCACUUGUUGUUUUUACCCUUACACCUAUGAUAAUGUCCUGUUGCAUGCACAUAUACAGUUUUCUGUGUUGAAUGAAUGAAAAACCAAGUGGAGAGAUAUGAGGUGACAGAGAAGCCAGGCAGCCUUCUUCUGGUGUGAGUCUCAUACCUGGACUCGUGCAGGCAAAGAAUAGAUGUGUCUACAUUAGUUAUUCUCUCUUCACAUGGGUUUCACUACCACCUGGAUUCCCCGCGACACGUAGACACCACACAGAGGUGAAGAGAAAAUAAAAAGACUCUUCAGAUGCAGAGUCUGUGAUCAUGAUCGCACUGAAAAAGGGAUGCCAUAAAAACAACAAAGGGAGUAACAUCCAAAUUUAAUUGUUCUGUCCUUGGAAGACACUAUAUACUGGCUGUAUUUAUGUCAGUGUCUGUUCAGUUAUGGUAACCAUCAGUGCUCAUGCUGACUGUCUAGUUCUUCUAAACAAAUCUGAUACGUAAAGCGCCUCUCCCUCUGUGCCAGAAAAGACAUACCAAGCGGCUACAGUGAUAGGUAGUGCAGUUAGAUGAGAAUAACAGAAGAAAAAUCUGAGUUUUUACAAAGUUUUUGUCACAUUUAAUUGUUGUGAAUACAGAUAAGCACCUUUCGACCCGCUGCAGUGCCAUUACAAUGAUACUUUACUUUUGUUUGAAGUCCCUGUCAGCACAUCCACACAUUUAAGGUUAUUAAUUUAUUCAUGGCCAAAUAAUUGAAGCCUGGUUUCUUGUUCACAUUUUACAAAUCAUGGUAAUAAAGAAAAAUAAUAGCCAGUUCACUGUACUUAAAAUUAUCCACAAGCACCGAAAGUGUGUGAGUAUUAGCAGGUUCCUUAUCCAGAUGGUCUACAGGAUAGAGGUUUAAACCAAAUUAAAUAUUUUUUACGUUACAUAUUUUAUUUUAUGAAAUGUGUAGAAAAUUAUACCCACUUUCUCAGUUUAAUUUUCAAAUUCCUUUGUUUACCAUCUGGCAAGCAAUGGGUCGACUAAUGAUACUGCAAUUAGUGAAAAAUGAAUGUGUGUAUUGUCGUGUGUGUGUGUGUGGGAUCAGUAUUCUAAUGAGGACAGACAAAAGAAGUCUGUAGCUCAGAGCCAAUUGGACAGAGAGGAGCAGAGCAUCAGAGAAAGAAAGCCGGAGAGGGGAGUGAGCUAGUUGGGGGUUAGGGAGGGUUCAGGCUGGUGGCAGUCAGUGCCUCAGGCAGGGUUUUGGGGUCAGGCCCCCCCAGACGGCCACACUGGCCCCCCCGGGCCCCGAGAGGGGGGAUACCAGGACCACGCCAGCCAAGGGAGGGGCACUCAAUUAGGGCAGUGUUCAAAAUUUUUGCUUGGUGCUUCAGAAGAGAAGGCCACCUGAUACCUAUACACCUCAAAGAUCCCCCUUCACCCCUUCACCCGACUGAAUGCACCUACUGCUGACUGACACGCUCAAGAGUUUGAAUGGGUUUUUUUUUAAGGCUGAAAAUGAUGCUCAUAUUUAAAUAAAACUUUGUCAACCCAU